AUUGAACGCUGGCGGCAUGCUUUACACAUGCAAGUCGAACGGUAACAGGUUAAGCUGACGAGUGGCGAACGGGUGAGUAAUGCAUCGGAACGUGCCCGGUCGUGGGGGAUAACGCAGCGAAAGCUGCGCUAAUACCGCAUACGAUCUGAGGAUGAAAGCGGGGGACCGUAAGGCCUCGCGCGAUCGGAGCGGCCGAUGUCAGAUUAGGUAGUUGGUGGGGUAAAGGCCUACCAAGCCUCCGAUCUGUAGCUGGUCUGAGAGGACGAUCAGCCACACUGGGACUGAGACACGGCCCAGACUCCUACGGGAGGCAGCAGUGGGGAAUUUUGGACAAUGGGCGAAAGCCUGAUCCAGCAAUGCCGCGUGCAGGACGAAGGCCUUCGGGUUGUAAACUGCUUUUGUACGGAGCGAAACGGCUUUCACUAAUACUGGGGGCUAAUGACGGUACCGUAAGAAUAAGCACCGGCUAACUACGUGCCAGCAGCCGCGGUAA
rnacentral:rRNA from 1 species